CGCCACGGGCACAGAGCUGCUGGCUCUCUAUAUUCAGCUGCUCAGAGGCGCUCUGACACCAUUCACUCCAGAGUCCUGCACACACACAGAGGACCUGUCCACCCUGCUGCAAGACCUCUGGAUAGCGCAACGCGGACGACUUUUUUUUCCUCCUCUUUUAGUUUGGAUUAUCUUCAUGUUAGUUGUUUUUUUUAGAUGAGAGAGAACAAAAAGUUGUGCAGGUAUUUGUUCAGUUUUCCAAAAAGACAAAGGAGCAACAUCUCAGUGCGCUGGGGUGAAGCCUUUUUUUUUUUUUUUUUGUAUGUGAGGUGAAGGACAAGUGCAACGCGCGCCUGGCUCGUUUCUUGGAAUUGUCCGACGCGCGCCUGAGGAACCAUGUCGUGCUGCAGCGCGGGGCUUCUUCAACAGGACGCAACCCCGAUGUGAAUAAGAGCCAGAUCCAACUCCUCGGCUUUCCCUAUGAGCAAAGUGCAGCGCGGUGUGUGACUGAGCUGCUCUGACGCUUUUACAGUUGUUUUUAUUUGUUUAUUUUCCUCCCCCGGGGAGGGGGAUGGUUGUGGAUCCUCAGGAGCCAGGAGCGACUCGGGGGCUCCUACACAGCAGCAGCAGCAUUAGCGCAUUUUUCCUGUUUGGGUUUGACUCUGAAUUAAAGGGAGAUGAGAACCGCACUUUGUUACUUCCUGCUGUGGACGUCGUACCUGCUGGCCGCAGCUGAGGAAGCGGAGUUUCCCCAGGAGCUGCUGGACCGACUCUCAAACAGUGAAAUCCACAGCAUCAGCGACCUCCAGCGGUUACUGGAGAUAGACUCCGUAGGCACGGGAAAUGAUGUCAUUGAGGAGCACAAGUACCGCAAACACCACAACCACCACAAUCACCACAAGAACUUCUCUCAACAUCAAAGCUACUACAAUGGCCUGAAGAGCUCUCAGCUACACAGCAGACGCAAGAGGAGCAUUGUCGAGGAGGCGGUCCCGGCGGUGUGCAAAACACGAACGGUGAUCUAUGAGAUCCCCAGGAGCCAUGUGGAUCCCACAUCUGCCAAUUUCCUGAUAUGGCCYCCCUGUGUGGAGGUGAAGCGCUGCACAGGCUGCUGCAACACCAGCAACAUGCGCUGUCACCCAUCCCGCAAGCACCACCGCACGGUUAAGGUAGCCAAGGUGGAGUAUGUGAGGAGGAGACCCAAGCUCAAAGAGGUCUUUGUACGAUUAGAAGACCACCUGGAGUGUAUGUGCACAUUACAACAUCAUGUGGUAGAGCACUUAGACUCAGAAACAGGCCUUCGUAGGGCUAAAGGUAAAAAAAGGAAACCUAAAAAGCAAAGGCCCAUCAAGGACUUAUUGGUGACAUAAUAAAGUCGCUCUUGUUACCCAAAGUCCACUGGGAGGCUGUGACGGGAACAGUAGAUGUGAGGUGAGACGAGUCAGAACAAGGGAUUUCAGCAUGGACAGGACCUAAAAUAGAAGAUGCCAUCAAGAGGACACCUUCUCCGUCUUCCUUCCAACUGCCAUGCAAACUUUAAGAACAUAAACUUUUCUGUAAAGAGACUGAAAAAUAAACAAAAACAAAUGAGAUGCCAAAGGUGCUUUGAAAACACGAUGACUGUCUUCACGGCAAUGGAACUGUGCUGCUUAAAAAGGUGGGAAGACAUGCGGCCACAAAGCUCAGACUGAGCAGAAAAAGGCCAGCAGGAGAGGAUGAAAAAUGAAGUUGUGAUGAACUUUUCAACAAAGGUUGUUUGAAAAUAUAUUCAACUGAAACAGCCUGUUGGAUCACACUUUUUGUGGGAAUCCUAGUGCUCUACCAGAACAUAAGUACGCUGCUUUGUUUAAAUGACUCUUGCAUACAAAGGAAGAAAGAGUGUGAUAUAGGAACGACAAUACAAACAUAAAGGUGAAAAACAGCUGGAGAGCGUUUACUUUUUAAAACUUUUGACCUCUGGUUGUCUGUGACUUUGCCCUCCUGCGAUGUACAGUUAAGUUUGAAAAAAAAAAAGAAAAAACAAACAAACAACGGAUGUUCUGCUUAGUACAAAGUAUUUAUGUGUUUGGACAUUUUACAUUUGUCCCUUUCAAUGUUCAAGAAAGGACAAAAAAGUUCAUGUUUAAUAAUUUUGUAGACAUGCAAGUGUUCUGUGUGGUCCAGUUCUUUCAUUAUCACAACCUCAGUGUCAUUUUUUAAACCUUUUUUAUUUUCUUGUCAACCAUGUUUCAUAUUAUAUUGCAAUAUAUCUGAAAACUAUCAUGUCUUGCGUAUAAGUUUGGAUAUAAUUAUGUGUGCAAGGAGAAGAUGUGAGAGUCAGUAAGAUGCUUUAUUUUUGUUAUGAAAUAUAUUAUGCAUACCUAUAUCCAAGCAGGAA